rnacentral:rRNA from 1 species
UACGUAGGGUGCAAGCGUUAAUCGGAAUUACUGGGCGUAAAGCGUGCGCAGGCGGCUAUGCAAGACAGAUGUGAAAUCCCCGGGCUUAACCUGGGAACUGCAUUUGUGACUGCAUGGCUAGAGUGCGGCAGAGGGGGAUGGAAUUCCGCGUGUAGCAGUGAAAUGCGUAGAUAUGCGGAGGAACACCGAUGGCGAAGGCAAUCCCCUGGGCCUGCACUGACGCUCAUGCACGAAAGCGUGGGGAGCAAACAGG